AACUACCAGAUACUACUCUAAUAUCAUCAUCAUGAUAUAGAGUAAUUGCAUAAGCAAACAUUAUACCCGUACCAAAGCAUCUUACAAAAGAGAAGAGAAGAGCUACUAGAGCCAUACCCGAACUCUUUUGAAGGCUUCUGGACUCCGAUUUAUACUCUAUUCCUAUUCCACUAGCUUGAUAACACUAAACUAAACUUGAGAGAAUAUGAGAGAGCUUUGCUUGAGAUGUGUGAGUGAAGUGAGAAAGUGAAGUCCUUAUAUAGAGGUAGGUAUGACGGUUGUGGAAGGGGAAUUGUCCGAAGUGCCCUCCAACCGUCAUUAGGAUGCAAUCCUGGACGUCCAUGCCGAACCCUGGCCUCAACGGUGGAGAUUGGGGUUUGGCCGAACCCUAUGGUUCGGCUGAACCAUGGGCUGGCCCAAACCAGCCCAUCUUCGGUUGGCGACUUAUUGGACUUCUUCUCUUUAUAGACUUGUGAAUUUUGGCCCAAUUGAUCGUGUCAAUUCUGAUUUCUUGGCCCAUUCAUGCAUAAGUCUGAUUCUCGAUAUCGUCCGAUUGAUUUAUCGUUUGAUUUGAUGUCGAUUCUCCUCCACUUAUUGUUUGUUCUCUGCAAAAGGUUAGUGAAACAAAUACUAGUGGAAUAUUAUUAUUCUAACAUGGAUAUGCAUUGCAAGUAUAACUAGUUCUCCUCUAUUUUGGUAAUUUUGACGGCCGAAACUGAUCGCUAAUGACCGUCAACAACUAUAUGAGUUCUUUGAAGGCAGAAACUGUUCAGGCUUUGGUUUGUGCAUCAAGUUGGAUAAGAGCCUCUCAAAAUGAUAACAGUGCACCUAUUCUUGUGAUGGUGGAGAUGAUGAUAUUGAAAUAGUGGAGUUCCCUAAUUGUGUGGUGUCAAGCAACUAGUAAGUAGCUACAACUCUAGAAGAGACGGCCUGUUUGGUUGGAGGGAGUUUUUAGGAGGGAUUGGGAGUUUAGAGGGAUGAGGCUAUUAAGUGUUUUGUUUGGUUGGGAGACAUGGGAAUUUUGGUGGGAUGAGGAUGAGGAAUUGAGGAAGGAACUCCCUCCUUUUCAAUACCUGGGUAGGGGCAGGUAAUUGGGAGGGAAUUCCUCCUUUAAUUUUUCUAAGCAAAUCUCAGUCAUCCGUUUUUAUUAAUGACUUAAUCUCCAACUAAACUCCCUAUCAAUUUCCAUCACCUCUACCAAACAAGAUAUUUGGAUUAAAAAUCAAAUUCUCAUCUUAAUCUCAUAAUCAAUUCCCUCGUGUAAACUCCCAAUCCCCUUCCCUCGAGUUACCAAACAAGCCGAGAAGGGAUGGGAGUGGGACUAUGGAGGGAGAAAGGAAGCUGUCAAGGGCUCAGGGCUGCAGCAGCUGCUGCUCUAAACUGCACUCCACUUGUGUUUUGUGUUUAUGUGCAAUUGUCUUGGAUGAAAAUGAUGAACCUUGCAGGCUGCAGCUUUACUAGUUAUGCAUUUAUGUUAAAUUUUGAUGUAUUGAACUAUUGAAGUAUAUAUUAUUGUACUGGACUUUGGAAGUUGGAACUUGGAACCUAUCUACCACCUAUGUGGGCAUGUCAGCA